UACGUAGGAGGCAAGCGUUGUCCGGAAUUACUGGGCGUAAAGCGCGUGUAGGUGGUGGGACAAGUCUGCUGUGAAAGCGCCUGGCUUAACCGGGCGAGGUCGGCGGAAACUGUCCGACUAGAGGACGGUAGAGGGGGGUGGAAUUCCCGGUGUAGUGGUGAAAUGCGUAGAGAUCGGGAGGAACACCUGUGGCGAAGGCGGCCCCCUGGGCCGGCCCUGACACUGAGACGCGAAGGCGUGGGAGCGAACGGG
rnacentral:rRNA from 1 species